CUACGGGGCGCUGCAGUGGGGAAUAUUGCACAAUGGAGGAAACUCUGAUGCAGCGACGCCGCGUGAGUGAAGAAGUAUUUCGGUAUGUAAAGCUCUAUCAGCAGGGAAGAUAGUGACGGUACCUGACUAAGAAGCACCGGCUAAAUACGUGCCAGCAGCCGCGGUAAUACGUAUGGUGCAAGUGUUAUCCGGAUUUACUGGGUGUAAAGGGAGUGUAGGUGGCAUGGCAAGUCAGAAGUGAAAGCCCAGGGCUCAACCCUGGGACUGCUUUUGAAACUGCCGAGCUAGAGUGCAGGAGAGGUAAGUGGAAUUCCUAGUGUAGCGGUGAAAUGCGUAGAUAUUAGGAGGAACACCAGCGGCGAAGGCGGCUUACUGGACUGUAACUGACACUGAGGCUCGAAAGCGUGGGGAGCAAACAGGAUUAGAUACCCCCGUAGUC
rnacentral:rRNA from 1 species